GCCUUGUUCUUAAGAGGGCUGGUUCUUAUGCGCGGCGUAAGCGCUUAUGGUUGCCAGCAGGGCAUAAGGGAGAGCGCACAGCCUCUCUUAAGCGACGAAGCCCCUGACUACGUGAGGUUUUUUUUUUCCGGUCAUGCAAUAAAUAGUUGCUCAUAACAAACAAUGAUGAUGAUGGCGUGACGUCACGGCCAUCGGUUGACGGCAGCGUAAUCGGAGAGGCGUCCAAAUUGGGCCCAACUUGCAACACAAUGUUGCGGUUGGUGGCGAGGCAGGUACUGGAGAGGCUGAUCUGUGAGUGUACUGUCAGCGGCAGCCUGUGGACUGGAUGUUGUUGGCGACGGCGAUAGGGCCUUCAAAUUUCGCCCAUUUGGCAGAAAGUGGAUGGUGAAUUUGGUGUGGCAACUGCUGGAGAGGCAGCUCUAUCGGAGGCGUGGCAGCGGCAGCCUGUGGACUGGAUGUUGUUGGCGACGGCGAUAGGGCCUUCAAAUUUCGCCCAUUUGGCAGGAAUUGGAUGGUGAAUUUGGUGUGGCAACUGCUGGAGAGGCAGCUCUAUCGGAGGCGUGGCAGCGGCAGCCUGUGGACUGGAUGUUGUUGGCGACGGCGAUAGGGCCUUCAAAUUUCGCCCAUUUGGCAGGAAUUGGAUGGUGAAUUUGGUGUGGCAACUGCUGGAGAGGCAGCUCUAUCGGAGGCGUGGCAGCGGCAGCCUGUGGACUGGAUGUUGUUGGCGACGGCGAUAGGGCCUUCAAAUUUCGCCCAUUUGGCAGGAAUUGGAUGGUGAAUUUGGUGUGGCAACUGCUGGAGAGGCAGCUCUAUCGGAGGCGUGGCAGUGGCUGCUCUGGACCUGUGCGGUGGAUUGUCAGGAGCGUCGUCAAUAAACCCUAAAAUGUCGUCCAAUUGGCAUCAAAUGUGUGGUGUUGAUGACGGGGCAGCUGCUGGAGGGGUAGAUCUGUCGGAGGCGUGGCAGUGGUUGCUCUGGACCUGGGCGGUGAAUUGUCAGGAGAGUCGUCAAUAUAUUCUAAGAAUGUCGUCAAAUUAGCAGCAAAAGUUUGGUCUAUUUGUCGUGGCAUCUGCUGGUGGGGCAGCUCUGUCGAUGGCGUGUCAGUGGCUGCCUCAGGACCGACUUUUGGGCUCAUCAAAAGACGUCAGAGUAGAAGCUACCGUAGGCGUCCAUGAUCUCCUCCGCUAUCUCGUCGUCAAAUGAAUCGUGGUCCGUCCACAUGUCGUCGCCAUCGUCGCUGAGUGCUUCGCAGUCCAUAUCAGAGUCCUCCGAUACGGCUGCGGCGUCAGGUUGUGUAUUGGCGGCGGGUCUUGGAUGUGUUGGUGCUGCUGCUGGUGUCUGUGUUGGAGGAUUGGCCACUGCUGAGCCACU